rnacentral:rRNA from 1 species
GGAAUAUUGCACAAUGGGCGAAAGCCUGAUGCAGCGACGCCGCGUGAGGGAUGACGGCCUUCGGGUUGUAAACCUCUUUCAGUAGGGAACAAGGCCAGCAUUUUUGUUGGUUGAGGGUACUUGCAGAAGAAGCGCCGGCUAACUACGUGCCAGCAGCCGCGGUAAUACGUAGGGCGCAAGCGUUAUCCGGAAUUAUUGGGCGUAAAGAGCUCGUAGGCGGUUUGUCGCGUCUGCCGUGAAAGUCCGGGGCUCAACUCCGGAUCUGCGGUGGGUACGGGCAGACUAGAGUGAUGUAGGGGAGACUGGAAUUCCUGGUGUAGCGGUGAAAUGCGCAGAUAUCAGGAGGAACACCGAUGGCGAAGGCAGGUCUCUGGGCAUUAACUGACGCUGAGGAGCGAAAGCAUGGGGAGCGAACAGGAUUAGAUACCCCAG